UAGGGAAUCUUCCACAAUGGACGCAAGUCUGAUGGAGCAACGCCGCGUGAGUGAAGAAGGUUUUCGGAUCGUAAAGCUCUGUUGUUGGUGAAGAAGGAUAGAGGCAGUAACUGGGCUUUAUUUGACGGUAAUCAACCAGAAAGUCACGGCUAACUACGUGCCAGCAGCCGCGGUAAUACGUAGGUGGCAAGCGUUGUCCGGAUUUAUUGGGCGUAAAGCGAGCGCAGGCGGAAUGAUAAGUCUGAUGUGAAAGCCCACGGCUCAACCGUGGAACUGCAUCGGAAACUGUCAUUCUUGAGUGCAGAAGAGGAGAGUGGAAUUCCAUGUGUAGCGGUGGAAUGCGUAGAUAUAUGGAAGAACACCAGUGGCGAAGGCGGCUCUCUGGUCUGCAACUGACGCUGAGGCUCGAAAGCAUGGGUAGCGAACAGG
rnacentral:rRNA from 1 species